UUAUUUUAAAACCGUUAAUUUUAAAUGUUUCAUUUUUUUAUUAUUAUUUAUUUUGGAUGUUUAGGAAAUGAUUGAUUAAUCAUUACUUAUCUAUGUAUUUUCAGCCAAAAUUCCUCAUUGUUUAAAACCCACAGUGUUAGUUCCUCGUAUUCAAUGACCUCAAACAAGGCUGUCAAGAUGAAUUUUUUCCACUAUUAGUUCUUUUUAUAUUUUUCUGUUGGGGCUAGACAAUCGUGCACAAAAGUAAGUUUUCUGAAUUUACAUUUCUUAAUUACUGUUAAAUAUAUAUUUUUUGAAUUUGUGAAAAAAUUUUUUUUUUUAAACUGAAGAUAAAUGAACAUCUGCACUACUCCUGCAUGGGAAGAAAGCUCCGCUACAUACCAUCCAGUAUUCCUACCUUGGAACUAUGGAUAUAAGUUGACAUUUUUUUAAAUGCUUGAAGACCGUUUUCUCUAUUUAUUCAAGCCAAUGAUCUGUCAAGAUGCCACAUCAAGCACAUCACUUUCUACAAUGUGAAGAAUUUGACUACUUUGAUUCUUUCUGGAAACCCUAUUACAUAUUUUGGACCCAAAUGCUUGAAUUCUUUAUAUAAUCUUCAAAGACUAGUUCUUGUGGAUGUUGGUCUCUCAUCAUUACAGCUUCAAAUGAGUAACCUAACCAAGCUGCAGGAGCUUAGAGUCGGGACAAAUAA